CCUACGGUAGUCAGCAGUAGGGAAUCUUCCACAAUGGGCGAAAGCCUGAUGGAGCAACGCCGCGUGGGUGAAGAAGGUCUUCGGAUCGUAAAACCCUGUUGUUAGAGAAGAAAGUGCGUGAGAGUAACUGUUCACGUUUCGACGGUAUCUAACCAGAAAGCCACGGCUAACGACGUGCAAGCAGCCGCGUGAAUACGUAGGUGGCAAGCGUUAUCCGGAUUUAUUGGGCGUAAGGGGAACGCAGGCGGUCUUUUAAGUCUGAUGUGAAAGCCUUCGGCUUAACCGGAGUAGUGCAUUGGAAACUGGAAGACUUGAGUGCAGAAGAGGAGAGUGGAACUCCAUGUGUAGCGGUGAAAUGCGUAGAUAUAUAGAAGAACACCAGUGGCGAAAGCGGCUCUCUGGUCUGUAACUGACGCUGAGGUUCGAAAGCGUGGGUAGCAAACAGGAUUAGAUACCCGGGUAGUC
rnacentral:rRNA from 1 species